rnacentral:rRNA from 1 species
CUACGGGUCGCACCAGUCAAGAAUCUUCCACAAUGGCCGAAAGGCUGAUGGAGCGACGCCGCGUGCAGGAAGACGCUUUUCGGAGUGUAAACUACUUUUAUUAGGGACGAAACAAUGACGGUACCUAAUGAAUAAGGGGCUGCUAACCUCGUGCCAGCAGCAGCGGUAAUACGAGGGCCCCAAGCGUUAUCCGGAUUUAUUGGGCGUAAAGGGUCCGUAGGCGGCCUGACGCAUCUUCUGUCAAAUCUACCGGCUUAACCGGUAGGCUGCGGAAGAGAUGGUCAGGCUAGAGACCGGAAGAGGCAAUCGGAAUUGCUGGUGUAGGGGUUAAAUCCAUUAAUAUCAGCAGGAACACCAAAUGCGAAGGCAGAUUGCUAGGACGGUUCUGACGCUGAGGGACGAAAGCGUGGGUAGCGAAUGGGAUUAGAUACCCGCGUAGUC